GGCAGAAGAAGCUCAUCAGUGGGACAUACACUGAGUCUGGCCCAAGCCCCUGGGAAGGUCUGAGACUGGGGCCCCCUUGGCCUUUACAGGGGUCCUCCCUGAGUGGGGAGGUGAGCUCCCAGAGAGCAGGGUUCCAUUCAUGGGCAGACUGGGCAGGAGAGGACCCAAGUAGGUGGAUGUCUCCUUCCUUUACCAGUACCUAAAAUCUUUUAGUUCAUUUCAAUUUGAAAAUUUCCGAAUUAAACCAGUGUGUGUGUGUG
rnacentral:lncRNA from 1 species